rnacentral:rRNA from 1 species
GGCUCAGAUUGAACGCUGGCAGCGCAGGCCUAACACAUGCAAGUCGAACGGUAGCACAGAGAGCUUGCUCUCGGGUGACGAGUGGCGGACGGGUGAGUAAUGUCUGGGAAACUGCCUGAUGGAGGGGGAUAACUACUGGAAACGGUAGCUAAUACCGCAUAACGUCGCAAGACCAAAGAGGGGGACCUUCGGGCCUCUUGCCAUCAGAUGUGCCCAGAUGGGAUUAGCUAGUAGGUGGGGUAACGGCUCACCUAGGCGACGAUCCCUAGCUGGUCUGAGAGGAUGACCAGCCACACUGRAUACCUGAGACACGGUCCAGACUCCUACGGGAGGCAGCAGUGGGGAAUAUUGCACAAUGGGCGCAAGCCUGAUGCAGCCAUGCCGCGUGUAUGAAGAAGGCCUUCGGGUUGUAAAGUACUUUCAGCGGGGAGGAAGGUGUUGUGGUUAAUAACGCGCAGACACAUUGAGCGUUAACCUCGCGAGAAGAAGCACCGGCUAACUCCGUGCCAGCAGCCGCGGUAAUACGAGGUGCAAGCGUAAUGGAUACUGGGCGUAAGCGCACGCAGGCGGUCUGUCAAGUCGGAUGUGAAAUCCCCGGGCUCAACCUGGGAACUGCAUUCGAAACUGGCAGGCUAGAGUCUUGUAGAGGGGGGUAGAAUUCCAGGUGUAGCGGUGAAAUGCGUAGAGAUCUGGAGGAAUACCGGUGGCGAAGGCGGCCCCCUGGACAAAGACUGACGCUCAGGUGCGAAAGCGUGGGGAGCAAACAGGAUUAGAUACCCUGGUAGUCCACGCCGUAAACGAUGUCGACUUGGAGGUUGUGCCCUUGAGGCGUGGCUUCCGGAGCUAACGCGUUAAGUCGACCGCCUGGGGAGUACGGCCGCAAGGUUAAAACUCAAAUGAAUUGACGGGGGCCCGCACAAGCGGUGGAGCAUGUGGUUUAAUUCGAUGCAACGCGAAGAACCUUACCUACUCUUGACAUCCAGAGAACUUUCCAGAGAUGGWUUGGUGCCUUCGGGAACUCUGAGACAGGUGCUGCAUGGCUGUCGUCAGCUCGUGUUGUGAAAUGUUGGGUUAAGUCCCGCAACGAGCGCAACCCUUAUCCUUUGUUGCCAGCGGUCCGGCCGGGAACUCAAAGGAGACUGCCAGUGAUAAACUGGAGGAAGGUGGGGAUGACGUCAAGUCAUCAUGGCCCUUACGAGUAGGGCUACACACGUGCUACAAUGGCGCAUACAAAGAGAAGCGAACUCGCGAGAGCAAGCGGACCUCAUAAAGUGCGUCGUAGUCCGGAUUGGAGUCUGCAACUCGACUCCAUGAAGUCGGAAUCGCUAGUAAUCGUAGAUCAGAAUGCUACGGUGAAUACGUUCCCGGGCCUUGUACACACCGCCCGUCACACCAUGGGGAGUGGGUUGCAAAAGAAGUAGGUAGCUUAACCUUCGGGAGGGCGCUUACCACUGAUGAUCGAUGACUGGGUGAGUACCUCACUAGUGAGAGAGAGGAAGGGAAGGAGUGAUGCAUCGACGCUGGACCACUUGAGAAAUAUAGUCGCUGCAG